CCAGAUGUGCCUCUGGAUGGGACAUGUUCCAGGGCAGCUGUUUCUACAACGAUAGACAGCUGAGGACUUGGGAGGACAGCUGGCGAUAUUGCGAGUCUGUUGGGGCAGACCUGGUGAAAAUCAACUCCAUAGGGAAACAGCGGUUUAUAUCUGCAAUGCAGUACGGUGGCUGGAUUGGAGUGUACCAAGCGAAUCGGGGCUGGAUUUGGAUGGAUCAAACAUGGAUGGUUCAAACAUGGUAUUGGCACCCUGGUCAGCCUGCCAAGUCCACUAGCUGUGUCAAAAUCCACGAGAGGGAUUCAAUCAAAAACUGGUUUGAUGAUGAUUGUGACAAUUAUAAUUGGUCCAUCUGUGAGAAGUCAACCUACACAUAGAAAAACUAAGGUGGUCAGACACUUACGGUAGAUGACCAUUGGAUACG